rnacentral:rRNA from 1 species
ACGCGUGGGAAUCUGCCCUUGGGUUCGGAAUAACUUCGGGAAACUGAAGCUAAUACCGGAUGAUGACGUAAGUCCAAAGAUUUAUCGCCCAAGGAUGAGCCCGCGUAGGAUUAGCUAGUUGGUGAGGUAAAGGCUCACCAAGGCGACGAUCCUUAGCUGGUCUGAGAGGAUGAUCAGCCACACUGGGACUGAGACACGGCCCAGACUCCUACGGGAGGCAGCAGUGGGGAAUAUUGGACAAUGGGCGAAAGCCUGAUCCAGCAAUGCCGCGUGAGUGAUGAAGGCCUUAGGGUUGUAAAGCUCUUUUGCCCGGGAUGAUAAUGACAGUACCGGGAGAAUAAGCUCCGGCUAACUCCGUGCCAGCAGCCGCGGUAAUACGGAGGGAGCUAGCGUUGUUCGGAAUUACUGGGCGUAAAGCGCACGUAGGCGGCUUUGUAAGUUAGAGGUGAAAGCCUGGAGCUCAACUCCAGAAUUGCCUUUAAGACUGCAUCGCUUGAAUCCAGGAGAGGUGAGUGGAAUUCCGAGUGUAGAGGUGAAAUUCGUAGAUAUUCGGAAGAACACCAGUGGCGAAGGCGGCUCACUGGACUGGUAUUGACGCUGAGGUGCGAAAGCGUGGGGAGNCAACAGGAUUAGAUACCCUGGUAGUC